rnacentral:misc_RNA from 1 species
GGCACACGAAAAUUCCGCGGCAAAAGAUGGAAGCAAUCUGAAACCGUCAAUUAUAUUUCCAAGGAUCCAACGGCUGCCAACUGUAGGAAUGGAACACUCUGGAAAUCUAACAAUAAUCACGAUAUAAUGCACUCCUUACGAAGGUAUCCACCACGUGAAACCCUAGUUCUUUGUGGUUGCUCUUUGCCUUUCGUCUUCUUCUUCUUCUUCGCGCAUUCUCAAUAUAUCCGUUGACAGAACAGAGCUUGAAGAGAAAAGGCUUGAAAUAAUGGCAGGUAAAGGAGAGGGUCCAGCGAUCGGUAUUGAUCUUGGUACCACGUACUCUUGCGUAGGCGUGUGGCAACAUGAUCGUGUGGAGAUCAUCGCUAAUGAUCAAGGGAACAGAACGACGCCGUCUUAUGUUGCAUUCACUGAUACAGAGCGUUUGAUCGGUGAUGCAGCUAAGAAUCAGGUCGCCAUGAACCCCAUAAACACCGUUUUUGAUGCGAAGAGGUUGAUUGGAAGGAGAUUCAGCGAUGCCUCUGUUCAGAGUGACAUCAAAUUGUGGCCAUUCAAGGUCAUUCCUGGUCCUGGUGACAAGCCCAUGAUUGUUGUUGCAUACAAAGGCGAGGAGAAGCAAUUUUCUGCUGAGGAGAUCUCCUCCAUGGUGCUUAUGAAAAUGCGUGAGAUUGCUGAGGCUUACCUUGGCAACACUGUGAAGAAUGCCGUGGUCACUGUCCCUGCCUACUUCAAUGAUUCUCAGAGGCAGGCCACAAAGGAUGCUGGUGUCAUUGCAGGUCUCAACGUCAUGCGUAUCAUCAAUGAGCCCACUGCUGCUGCAAUUGCUUAUGGCCUUGAUAAAAAGGCAUCAAGUGUAGGUGAGAAGAAUGUCUUGAUUUUUGA